UCGGACCGGGUGAUAACGCGUGAGAAUCUACCUUCAGGUUGGGGACAACCACUGGAAACGGUGGCUAAUACCCAAUGUGCCGAGAGGUGAAAGGCUUGCUGCCUGAAGAAGAGCUUGCGUCUGAUUAGCUAGUUGGUGGGGUAAGAGCCUACCAAGGCGACGAUCAGUAGCUGGUCUGAGAGGAUGAUCAGCCACACUGGGACUGAGACACGGCCCAGACUCCUACGGGAGGCAGCAGUGGGGAAUUUUCCGCAAUGGGCGAAAGCCUGACGGAGCAAUACCGCGUGAGGGAGGAAGGCUCUUGGGUUGUAAACCUCUUUUCUCAGGGAAGAACAAAAUGACGGUACCUGAGGAAUAAGCAUCGGCUAACUCCGUGCCAGCAGCCGCGGUAAUACGGAGGAUGCAAGCGUUAUCCGGAAUGAUUGGGCGUAAAGGGUCCGCAGGUGGCAUUGUAAGUCUGCUGUUAAAGAGUUUGGCUCAACCAAAUAAAAGCAGUGGAAACUACAAAGCUAGAGUGUGGUCGGGGCAGAGGGAAUUCCUGGUGUAGCGGUGAAAUGCGUAGAUAUCAGGAAGAACACCGGUGGCGAAGGCGCUCUGCUAGGCCAAGA
rnacentral:rRNA from 1 species